rnacentral:rRNA from 1 species
UACGUAGGGCGCAAGCGUUGUCCGGAAUUAUUGGGCGUAAAGCGCGCGUAGGUGGCCAUGUAAGUCCGCUGUGAAAGUCAAAGGCUCAACCUUUGAAAGCCGGUGGAUACUGCAUGGCUAGAGUACGGAAGAGGCGAGUGGAAUUCCUGGUGUAGCGGUGGAAUGCGCAGAUAUCAGGAGGAACACCAAUAGCGAAGGCAGCUCGCUGGGACGUUACUGACACUGAGGCGCGAAAGCGUGGGGAGCGAACAGG